UUGAAUCUUGGUUUUGUCCCUUUAUUUGUUAAGGUGAUCAUUUUUCCAUGCCCUUAAAUAUUUUAACGUGAUUUUUUUUUAGCAGUUACCAAAUAAUCCAUCACAUAACUGAACUAUAAUCCAUUUAACUGUUUGACUGUUUCUGGGCUUUUGGAUGAUUUCAUUUUAUUCUCUAAAUACACAGCCCUCUCUCCUGAUGUGAAAAGCCAAUUAGGAGCCACUGCUGGAAUCUGAGGCCUCCAGAGGUCAGGACCAAAAGGGUUGCGCUUGGCAGAUCCUCAAAAGAAUGAAAACAACAACAACAAGGAAAAUAAAAGGAGGAAGAUGAGUUAUGAAUGGGCCUGUAUGGAAUCUCAGUAGGAACAUAUUCUGUAUCCUAUAUUUACUCAUUCACACUCCUAAUUAUCAGAGAAAACUGAAUGUGCGCUCAUGAGUGGUGAACGGAAUGGACAUUCUUGAAGAACAAAGAAACAUAUGGCCGCCUGGCAGACCACACCAGCAUUUCUCCGAAGCACAAUUGCCUGGGGGGUUUCUGGACCUGAAACCCCUGCCACUGCAGAUUUCACUCUCCAUCCAUUACCCUCAUUGACAGAGGGCCUGAUGCAAGUCCCCAGAGACAACAUGCAGCUCCCAGCAGCUGGAUUUCUCUGAAACAGCAACUUCAUAAUUCCACCUUCCCAAAACUUUCUAUCUUUUUGAGCAAAGAACUAUUCCAGGUGCCUUUUACAGUCUUCCAGGGAAUGAAAAUUUUUUCCAUUAAGAGAAUUCUGUAAAGACCGAAAUAAAUGGAAAUCCGAAGGUGCAGUGUCUGGUGAAUACGGCGGAUGAAUCAGAACUUCCCAGCCAAGCUGUAACCGUUUUUGCCUGGUCAUCAAAGAAACAUGCGGUCUUGAGUUAUCCUGAUGGAAGAUUAUGCGUUUUCUGUUGACUAAUUCCGGACGCUUUUCAUCGAGUGCUGUUUUCAGUUGGUCUAAUUGAGAGAGGUACUUUUUGGAAUUAAUUGUAUGGUUUUCCAGACGGAGCUCAUCAUAGAGGACUCCCUUCCAAUCCCACCAUAUACACAACAUCACCUUUUUGGUUCCGAAGACUGGCCUUCAGUGUGAUUGGUGGUGGUUCAUUUCACUUGCCCCACAAUCUCUUUUAUUCCACAUUAUUGCACAGUAUGCACUUUUCAUCGCCCGUCACAAUUUGUUUUAAAAACGGAACGUUUUCAUUGCAUUUAAGUAGAGAAUCACAUGCAGAAAUACGGUCAAGGAGGUUUUUUUCGCUUAACUUAUGUGGAACCCAAACAUCAAAGCGAUUCACAUAACCAAGCUUGUGCAAAUGAUUUUCAGCACUUGAUUUGGAUAUUUUGAGUAUGUCGGCUAUCUCCCACGUGGUAUAACAUUGAUUGUUCUCAGUUAAUGUCUUGAUUUGAUCACUAUCAACUUCAACUGGUCUACCUGACCAUGGAGCAUUGUCCAGCGAGAAAUCUCCAGCACGAAACUUCGCAAACCACUUUGGACAUGUUCAAUCAGUCACAGCACCUUCUCCACACACUGCACAAACCUUUUUUUGUGUUUCAGUUGCGUUUUUACCUUUCUUGAAAUAAUAAAACGUAAUAUGAUGAAAAUGUUGCGCUUUUUUUCCAUCUUCAAUAUUAAAAUGGCUACACAAAAAUUCACCUAUUUUGAUAAGUCUUUUUUUAAAUGCACGCUGAUAUGACAGCUGUCACAAUACAAUCUCACAAAAUUGUUUCUAAUGAAGUUAAAGCCAACUAAGUGCUACUAGAGCCAUCUUACAGAGAAA